GGUUCAUUCAAAUUUCUGCCCUAUCAACUUUCGAUGGCUGGGUCUUGGCCAGCCAUGGUAGCAACGGGUAACGGAGGGUUAGGGCUCGACCCCGGAGAAGGAGCCUGAGAAACGGCUACUACAUCCAAGGAAGGCAGCAGGCGCGCAAAUUACCCAAUCCCGACCGGGGAGGUAGUGACAAUAAAUACUGAUACAGGNCUCUUUUGGGUCUUGUAAUUGGAAUGAGUACAAUUUAAAUCCCUUAACGAGGAACAAUUGGAGGGCAAGUCUGGUGCCAGCAGCCGCGGUAAUUCCAGCUCCAAUAGCGUAUAUUAAAGUUGUUGAGGUUAAAAAGCUCGUAGUUG
rnacentral:rRNA from 1 species